GAUGAACGCUGGCGGCGUGCCUAAUACAUGCAAGUCGAGCGAACGGACGAGAAGCUUGCUUCUCUGAUGUUAGCGGCGGACGGGUGAGUAACACGUGGAUAACCUACCUAUAAGACUGGGAUAACUUCGGGAAACCGGAGCUAAUACCGGAUAAUAUUUUGAACCGCAUGGUUCAAAAGUGAAAGACGGUCUUGCUGUCACUUAUAGAUGGAUCCGCGCUGCAUUAGCUAGUUGGUAAGGUAACGGCUUACCAAGGCAACGAUGCAUAGCCGACCUGAGAGGGUGAUCGGCCACACUGGAAAUGAGCCACGGUCCAACCUCCUAGGGGAGGCAGCAGUAGGGAAUCUUCCGCAAUGGGCGAAAGCCUGACGGAGCAACGCCGCGUGAGGGAUGAAGGUCUUCGGAUCGUAAACCUCUGUUAUUAGGGAAGAACAUAUGUUUAAGUAACUGUCCACAUUUUGACGGUACCUAAUCAAAAAGCCACGGCUAACUACGU
rnacentral:rRNA from 1 species